rnacentral:lncRNA from 1 species
AAACCAAAGUGUUGACGUCGGAAUCGGCUAAAAAGAGCGACGUUGUGGACCCCAUGAAUCAAGCUAUGGUCGAAGAUGUCAAGGGGAAGAGAUGGGUUGAUGAUGAGGGUGAAGGAUCAGAAAGACCGCGCAGACCUAUUACCUCCCAGUUCUUGCUCAACAAGUAUCAGCGGCAAUAGGACAGUUCGAGAUAUCACGAAGAAAUAAUGCGAUGACACGAAGA